GGUUUGGUAGCUUAAUUGGUAAAGCACUUGUCUAGCGUAUAAGGGUCGUGAGCUUAAAUCUGACCUGCUCUU
rfam:Aedes albopictus isolate Foshan contig2209, whole genome shotgun sequence.